rnacentral:tRNA from 1 species
GGGGAUGUAGCUCAGGUGGGAGAGCGGUACGUUCGCAACGUACAGGUCGGGGGUUCGAAUCCCCUCAUCUCCA